UUUUAAUAAUAGAAAAAGGAGAGAGAUACAGGAACAGAUUGGUACAGCUGUAAAGAGGGGCCCAUAAACAUGAGGUGGUAAGAACGUGCGUGGCGUUUCUCCCGGAUUUGUGAAACCCCCUAACUGCCAGGCAUCUUCUCUAUCAUGCCCAAAUCGGUGCACAUGCCUCUUGCUUCUCUCCUUUUCAUUCCUCUCUUCUCUUUUCUUUUCCUUUCUUUAAUUUCACUGCCUUGCAUCCUUGGGAACCCGAUUCCAGACAAACCAACUCUCUCACUCUUGCAAUUAAAGCAUAUUACCACUCCCAAAAUUAUUGCUGGUUCACAAAAUAAUUUCUACGUAAUAAUAAUAAUGUAUGGUU
rnacentral:lncRNA from 1 species